rnacentral:rRNA from 1 species
GAUGAACGCUAGCGGGAGGCCUAACACAUGCAAGCCGAGCGGUAUUGUUUCUUCGGAAAUGAGAGAGCGGCGUACGGGUGCGUAACACGUGUGCAACCUGCCUUUAUCUGGGGGAUAGCCUUUCGAAAGGAAGAUUAAUACUCCAUAAUAUAUUGAACGGCAUCGUUUAAUAUUGAAAGCUCCGGCGGAUAGAGAUGGGCACGCGCAAGAUUAGCUAGUUGGUGAGGUAACGGCUCACCAAGGCGAUGAUCGUUAGGGGGCCUGAGAGGGUGAUCCCCCACACUAGUACUGAGACACGGACCAGACUCCUACGGGAGGCAGCAGUGAGGAAUAUUGGUCAAUGGGUGCAAGCCUGAACCAGCCAUCCCGCGUGAAGGACGACUGCCCUAUGGGUUGUAAACUUCUUUUGUAUAGGGAUAAACCUACCCUCGUGAGGGUAGCUGAAGGUACUAUACGAAUAAGCACCGGCUAACUCCGUGCCAGCAGCCGCCGUAA